rnacentral:rRNA from 1 species
CCUACGGGAGUCAGCAGUGGGGAAUAUUGCACAAUGGGGGAAACCCUGAUGCAGCGACGCCGCGUGAGUGAAGAAGUAUCUCGGUACGUAAAGCUCUAUCAGCAGGGAAGCAAAUGACGGUACCUGACUAAGAAGCCCCGGCUAACUAAGUGCCAGCAGCCGCAGUAUUUCGUAGGGGGCAAGCGUUAUCCGGAUUUACUGGGUAUAAAGGGAGCGUAGCCGGCAGCAACAGGCUGGAGGGAAAUCCCGGGGCUUAAAGCGGGAACUGCUUUGGAACCUGGGCGGCGGGCGGGCAGGAGUGGUAAGCGGAAUUCCUAGUGUAGCGGUGAAAUGCGUAGAUAUUAGGAGGAACACCGGUGGCGAAGGCGGCUUACUGGACUGUAACUGACGUUGAGGCUCGAAAGCGUGGGGAGCAAACAGGAUUAGAUACCCCAGUAGUC